GACGAACGCUGGCGGCGUGCUUAACACAUGCAAGUCGAACGGAAAGGCCCUGCUUUUGUGGGGUGCUCGAGUGGCGAACGGGUGAGAAACACGUGAGUAACCUGCCCUUGACUUUGGGAUAACUUCAGGAAACUGGGGCUAAUACCGGAUAGGAGCUCCUGCUGCAUGGUGGGGGUUGGAAAGUUUCGGCGGUUGGGGAUGGACUCGCGGCUUAUCAGCUUGUUGGUGGGGUAGUGGCUUACCAAGGCUUUGACGGGUAGCCGGCCUGAGAGGGUGACCGGCCACAUUGGGACUGAGAUACGGCCCAGACUCCUACGGGAGGCAGCAGUGGGGAAUAUUGCACAAUGGGCGGAAGCCUGAUGCAGCAACGCCGCGUGCGGGAUGACGGCCUUCGGGUUGUAAACCGCUUCCGCCUGUGACGAAGCGUGAGUGACGGUAAUGGGUAAAGAAGCACCGGCUAACUACGUG
rnacentral:rRNA from 1 species